rnacentral:rRNA from 1 species
UACGUUCGCAAGAAUGAAACUCAAAGGAAUUGACGGGGACCCGCGCAAGCGGUGGAGCAUGUGGUUUAAUUCGAAGCAACGCGAAGAACCUUACCUGUCCUUGACAUCCCUCUGACGGAUCCGUAACGGGGUCUUUUCUUCGGAACAGAGGAGACAGGUGGUGCAUGGUUGUCGUCAGCUCGUGUCGUGAGAUGUUGGGUUAAGUCCCGCAACGAGCGCAACCCUUAUUGUCAGUAGCCAGCAGGUAAAGCUGGGCACUCUGAUGAGACUGCCGGGGAUAACCCGGAGGAAGGUGGGGAUGACGUCAAAUCAUCAUGCCCCUUAUGGGCAGGGCUACACACGUGCUACAAUGGCGUCAACAAAGGGAGGCGAGCAGGUGACUGUAAGCGAAUCCCAAAAAUAACGUCCCAGUUCGGAUUGUAGUCUGCAACUCGACUACAUGAAGCUGGAAUCGCUAGUAAUCGCGAAUCAGAAUGUCGCGGUGAAUACGUUCCCGGGUCUUGUACACACCGCCCGUCACACCAUGGGAGUCGGUAACGCCCGAAGUCAGUGACUCAACCUUAGGGAGAGAGCUGCCGAAGGCGGGACUGGUAACUGGGGUGAAGUCGUAAC